AUGAAAAUAAUAAGUUGGAACUGCCGGGGGUUGGGGAAUGGCCAGGAAGUUCAAAGUCUCCUCAAGAUGGGGAGAAUGGAGAACCCCGAAGUUCUUUUUAUUUCUGAAACACGGCUGACCGAGAAGGAAUUGGACAGGUUCAGAUGGUCAUUGGGCCUAUCGAACAUGCUUGCAUGGGAUCUGGUCGGAAGGUGCAGGGGGAUUGCAUUGUUC
rnacentral:rRNA from 1 species